UAGAUUGCUUCGGCUAAAAACCGCUCGAUCUCAAAUCGAGUAUUUCAGGCUGCAUACCGCUAAGCCGAAACUUCGAUAAAUCAUAACUUCCUCAUACGAAGUCAGAUUUGGGCGUUCUAUAUAUAUUCGGAAACCUCGUUUCAACUACUACAACAUUAACCAAAGAUAUUAAGUUUAUUUUACACUUAAAUUUUGACGCUUAUUUUUAUUCUUAAUUAAUCAAACCACAUAAUUAAGCAAUUAAGCACAAAACACAUAAUACUCAAAUAAUACAAUCUUAUUAUUUCAAAACGGGUUACAAAGGUUAACCUAGACUAUUACAUUGCUAAAAAUGGCAAGCCCGGAAACACAGGCGUUACACUUCUCUCCACCUUAGAAUGAUUCCGUCCCCGGAAUCACACAUCAACAAACAAAUGCGGAUAGCGACUCAACAUGUCACUCUCCGUCUCCCAGGUGAGAUUCGGCCCAUUCGUGUGUUUCCAUCGGACAAGCACUAACCCAACCAUUUUGCGUCGCAACUUCUUAGUCUUUCGGUCAACAAUUGCCUCUGGUUCUUCAAUCAACCUUUUGUUCUCAUCAAUUCUCAAUUCAGAAAUUGGAAUUAUAUCGGGAACUUCUCCCGUGAACUUCCUCAAAUAACACACAUGAAAAGUGUUGUGAAUUCCAUUCAGUUCUUCGGGUAAUUCGAGCUUGUAAGCUUGGUUCCCAACCCUCUGAAGAACUUUAAACGGUCCAAUAAACCUUGGACUCAACUUUCCCCUUUUACCAAAUCUUAUAAGUCCCUUCCACGGCGAGACUUUAAGCAAAACCGAAUCUCCAACCUCAAAAGUCAUCGGUCUUCGCUUCUUGUCAGCAUAGCUCUUUUGACGAUCUUGAGCUGCUAACAUUCUUUCCCUAAUUAUUUUCAACUUUUCAGCAGUUUGAUGAACCAUCUCCGGUCCCAUAAACUGCUUUUCCCCAGCCUCAAGCCAACAAGACGGCGUACGACACUUCUGUCCAUACAAAGCUUGAUAAGGUGCCAUCUUAAUGCUCGAGUGAAAACUAUUAUUAUAGGAAAAUUCUACCAACGGUAAAUGUUCAUCCCAAUUACCUAGGAAUUCCAAGGUACAUGCUCUCAGCAUAUCUUCAAGUGUUUGUAUUGUUCUUUCACUCUGACCAUCAGUCUGCGGAUGGUAAGCUGUGCUUAAACAUAACUUGGUACCCAUUUCCUCUUGUAGACUUUUCCAAAACCUUGAGGUGAAACGGCUAUCACGAUCCGAUACAAUCGUUAACGGAACACCGUGAAGCCUCACAAUUUCCUUCACGUAAGAAUUCGCAAGCUUUUCCAUAGACCAUUUCUCCCUGGCCGCUAUGAAAUGCGCACUCUUAGUGAAUCGAUCAACGACCACCCAAAUCAUGUCGUGACCAUUCUUUGUUCUGGGCAGUUUAGUGACAAAAUCCAUAGCAAUGUCUUCCCACUUACCCAUAGGCACAGGCAAAGGUUCUAAACUCCCGUACGGUUUCUGAUGUUGUGUCUUGACUCUCGCACAAGUCACACACUCGGCCACAUACUUUGCAACAUCAAGCUUCAUCGUCGGCCACCAGUAGUAGGGUUUCAGGUCCCUAUACAUUUUAGUGCUACCCGGAUGAAUCGAGUACAUGGUCUUGUGAGCUUCUUCCAUCAGAAGAUCUCUAAUUCCUCCUGACUUAGGUACCCAAAUACGAUCUUGGAAUACCUUCAGUCCAUGACCGUUAGUACCAAACACCAACGUUUUACCCAAACGUUCCUCCUUUCGGUCAUUUUUCUCAGAAGCUUCCUCUUGAGCUUUCUUUAUACUUUCCACAAUGGUCGAGACAACUUCAAUUCUCAACGCUCUUGGCCUCUUCCUUUCAAGAUUGACCUUCCGACUGAGAGCAUCAGCAACAACAUUAGCUUUACCGGGGUGGUAAAGUAUCUCGCAGUCGUAGUCUUUAAGUAAUUCUAGCCAGCGUCGUUGCCUCAUAUUCAAUUCUUUCUGAUUAAAGAGGUAUUGGAGACUCUUAUGAUCAGUGAAAAGUUUGCACUUCGUGCCAUAGAGGUAAUGCCUCCAUAUUUUCAGAGCGAAAACUACCGCUGCCAACUCCAAAUCAUGAGUCGGGUAAUUCUUUUCAUGCUCUUUCAGCUGUCGAGACGCAUAUGCUAUCACCUUUUCUCUUUGGGUCAAAACACAACCCAAUCCAACACCAGACGCAUCGCUAUAAACAGCGAAGUCUUCAACUCCAUCGGGUAGAGAAAGUAUCGGUGCCUCGCAUAGCUUCUUCUUUAACUUCUCGAAUGCUUCUUUAUGCUUCUCACUCCAAGCAUAAGUAGCUCCUUUGUGGGUCAAAGCUGUUAAUGGAGUAGCAAUCGAAGAAAAGCCUUGGAUAAACCUUCGGUAAUAUCCGGCUAAUCCUAAAAAGCUUCGAAUCUCCGUGGGACUUUUCGGUUGUUCCCACUUCGUCACAGCUUCGAUCUUCGCUGGAUCAACCAUUAUCCCUUCUUGGUUGACCACGUGACCCAAGAAUUGGACUUCACGAAUCCAAAAAUCACAUUUGGAGAACUUCGCAUAAAGCUUCUCCUUCUUCAAAACUUCUAACACUUCUCGCAAGUGUCUGCCAUGCUCCUCCUGGCUUUUCGAGUAGAUCAGAAUGUCGUCUAUGAACACUAUCACGGAUUUAUCAAGGAAAGGAUUACAAACCCUAUUCAUCAAAUCCAUGAACGCUGCUGGAGCAUUGGUUAGUCCAAACGACAUAACCAAGAACUCGUAGUGUCCAUAUCUAGUUCUGAAUGCAGUCUUCUCGAUAUCUUGCUCUCUUACUUUCAGCUGAUGAUAUCCUGACCUAAGAUCGAUCUUCGAGAAAUAGCUCGAACCUUGCAAUUGAUCAAACAGGUCAUCAAUCCUCGGCAACGGAUAUCUAUUCUUUAUUGUUGCCUUGUUCAGCUCUCUGUAAUCGAUGCACAUUCUCAUACUUCCAUCUUUCUUCUUUACAAAUAACACCGGAGCUCCCCAGGGCGAUGAACUAGGUCUAAUGAAACCUUUGUCCAAUAACUCCUGAAGUUGCAUCAUUAGCUCCUUCAUCUCCGUCGGUGCUAAUCGAUAAGGUGCUUUUGCUAUUGGCGUGGUUCCUGGUAACAAGUCUAUUCUGAACUCCACUUGUCUAUCAGGUGGUAAUCCAGGAAGAUCCUCGGGAAAUACUUCCGGAUAAUCACACACCACUGGAAUGCUCUGCAUCACCUUCUUUUCUUUCUUAGCAUCAAUCACGAAUGCUAAAUAUGAUGUACAUCCCUUGGUCAAACACUUUCUGGCUUUCAUUAGAGAAAUGAUUCCAGAAUUCACUCUGCGUUUGUCCCCAUACACCAUAAACGAAUCUUUUCCAGGCGGGUUUACUUUAACUAUCUUCUUCUUGCACAAAAUUUCGGCAUCAUUGGCGCUAAGCCAAUCCAUUCCCAAGACGAUGUCGAAACCAUUUAGUUCGAUAGGCAAUAAUUCCUCGAGAAACUUAUUCCCAUUAAGGUCGAUCAAGACGUUUUUCAUACGAUGGCUAACAGGUACAAACUUGCCACUAGCUACUUCGACUAAUAAAGCAUUAUUUAGUCUAUCAACAGGCAAAGCUAGCUUUCUACCAAACUCAUGCGAAAUAAAGGAGUAGUUGGCUCCAGAAUCAAACAAUAUAUGAGCAGGUAAUUCGUUUACGAGAAAGGUACCUGAAGCGACAUCAGCUUCAUCUUUCGCAGCCUCAAGUGUCAUCUGGAAGGCUCUCGCCUUCGGCUUUGGUGGAAUGUUGGGCCUAGCUGCCUCCUUCUUCUUCGGACAGUCUUUCAAAAUAUGCCCCUCUUCAUUACAACCAAAACACAUCCUUUUGUUGUUCGGACAUUCAUUGGCAAAAUGUCCAACCUUUCCACACUUGUAGCAGGUCACAUCCUCGCUACAUUUCCCAAAGUGCUUUUUCUUACACUUAUCACACCACUUUGCUUCGCCUCCUUUUCCUCCAAACUUUUUCGAAUCAGAUUUCGAAAAUUUGCUCUUCUUACUGGAACCAGAUGUUCCUUCAAACUUCCUUUUCUCACCAACCUCAACCUUGACGGUGGUUCUCCCCUUGAUCAUGUUCUCCACAGACUUGGCAGCCCAGAUAGCUGCCUCUAGAGUAAGUGCCUGACGUACCGGCACCUCGUACUCCCAUGGAAGUCCCUUCGCAUACCGAUCCACCUUUGUCAGCUCGUCUGGAACGAUACGCAAGGCAAACUCCAUCUUAUCGGUGAAGUUAUUGGUGUAUUCAUCAACUGACAUGCUACCCUUCGUCAAUGUCAAAAACUUAUUCUCCAACUCCAACAGAUUUUGAGCCGAGCAGAACUUGCGCUUGAACUGCACCAAGAACUCUGCCCAUGACAAUUGCAGUGGCUCAUUAGGGCUUAAGGUCUUCCCUAGAGUGUUCCACCAACGAACGGCUCCACCUCGGAAUUGUCGCACGGCAUAGAUAGUCUGCAACUUACCUCUGCAGCCACAUGUCAUAAAGGCUAACUCCAUUUCGGAGAUCCAAUCCAUAACCCCAAUCGGAUCCUCCUUUCCAUUGAAGGUCGAUGGUUUGCAAGUCAAAAAGUCCUUGUACUUGCAUCCCAUUCCAUCAUUCCUUCCUUCAUGGUUAUCUUGCCUAACUAUCGGUGGGUUGGCUGGACCAACAGACCCACUGAAGUUUCCACCUUCCGAGUGCCCUUCAUUUAAUUCAGGCUCUUCCACACGAAUCGACAGUUCUUCACGAUUUUGUUGAAGCAACCGUCUAGUUUCAUCCAUCUGACGAUCCAACAUCGUCUGAAUCAUCAAUUGCACACCAGCCAUGGUUAUUGGCUCAGGUGCUGCUGCUACGACAGGUAUUGGCUCAAUCACUGGUGGUUGAUUCCUGUUUUCGUCAGCAUUUCCAACUCCACUUCUUGUUCUCACCAUUUUGAUCUACACCGAAUAAGGUGAAAUUAGAUCCUCAAUCAUGAUAGAUAUUCAAAUCAUCCUUAUCACUCCGAAACGUUUACAUGCUAGUUCUAAUAUCGUAGACGUACGCUUAGAAUCCUACACACAUAAGGUUUCUAGAUCCGGUCGGCAACAGACCAUAGAUCCGAACAAAUAAUAUCAUAUAUGGCAACAUAUAACAUUUAGCACAUAAAGCAUUUUAGGCAACUUUCCUAAAAUAAACUAGUGCUCGUGUCUAAAUCACAACAGACACACAUCUCAAAACUUCACUUAGCAUUCUAAGUUUAAGUCUAGAAAUCCUACAAAUUCCUAGUUCGCUUAAACUAAUGCUCUGAUACCAACUGUGACAUCCCCAAAAUCUCGGCCAGAAAAGACCGAUUUUCAUUUAUGCUUUUAAAUAUUUUCAGAGUAAAUCCUUUUGAUUUGAAAGAGUUGCGGAAUUUGUUCCCAAAAACAAAACAUGAUAAAACAUUGUUUACCGAAGCAUUUCAUAAAAGAAAUGUAUUUUCAUUAUAAUCAAAACUCGGGGUGUCAUGUUCCGAUACAGACCAAUAAGCAUAAACGAAUACAUUACAAGUCAUAUAACAAAUAUAAACAUAUGCAGACUUGUAAACAAAACAACUUGAUGGUUCAUCCAUCUCAUGCCCUUCCGCCACUUCCUGUAAUACAAUUUAAAACUGAGUGGGUCAGGCUUGGGAGCCUGGUGAGCAUAUAGGGUUUUCAACCCACAAUAAAUAUCAUAUUUAAUUUUCACCAACCAACAAUAACCCAAUUACCCAUUCCCGUUAUUCUCACUUUAAUGUCCCUAAAACAACUAACAUAAGGGACCUAGUCUAAGAAUAUUUCAUCGGGGCGACAACACAUGCUUCGGGGGUACCUCAGCAAUAUAAGUCAAAUAAGGCAACCAUGAGGGGGAUGGAGUACAGCGAAUGAACACCCAAGUUCAUUAACACCUACAGGUGGCGAACCUGCUAAUGUUUCCACAAGACUAUCUAGAAAAGUAUGUGGUCGUCAUCUAAACUCCGCUAGAUGACUAAAUCAAACAACAACGAGGCCUCUCAUCUGUUUAUUACACACCAACUAUCUACCCAUGUUCUACCCAACAUAUUAGUAGAUAAAAAUAUACAUUUUAUACAUAGUUAUAAAAACCUGUAUAGCAUGCUUUAAUCAACACCUAUUUCACAUAACAGAUGAGGCACACACACACAUAACACGUAUCUCAUAUUGAAUAAAUCAUAUCUAUGAGUUAGAAGAAAGUGAAUACACAUUCACACAUAUAAACAACAAUAUACUUAAUACACUCAAACCAUACUUGUAUUAUUAUCGUGUUUAUGAAAGGUAGUAUACACUCACUUGAUCAGAAGAUGAUCGGACAGCACUACGACUUGCAGAAGUAGUAAUCCUCAGCAGAUCUGGAAGAUCUCUACAAAAAUCGAACUUCUCGCGGGCAGAGCUUCGGCUCGGGAACCGCACUUUUCGGGAUCUUCGGGAUAUCGGGACUUGCCUCGGGGUUCGAGAAUGAUACCGGGGCUUCGGGAUAUUUCUGGCACACAAAACGAUGCAAAAUGGGAGAGAGAAGAGAGGAAAUUGACAAUUGGGUUGGCUACCCUCGCAUCCUAUUUAUAAGAGGCUGGAGCCUCGGAGUACGCCGGGCGUACGCCAGUACACGGGGCGUACUGGUCCGAGAAAUGUCACUGAUUACGCAUCCGAAGCCACUUGCUGCGAGUGUCGACACCUUCGGAGUAUGCGGGGCGUACACGAGUACGCGGGGCGUACUUCGGAUGAGUCCGAUGACUCCUCUUCAGAUAAUACCGGAAUUAAAGAUUAAAUUUAAAUAUAAAUUAUUUAAUAAACUUCGGAAAUUCAUAUCUUCUUCAUACAAACUCCGUUUUCGACGUUCUUUAUAUCCACGCGAAGGUGAGACUAUGCUCUACAACUUUCGUUUAGACUUCGUCGGCUAAUUUUGACUUUAUUUUUAUUAUUUAUUUUUAAUAGGCCGCGACAGAAAAACUUCGUUAUAAUUUCAUAACUUCUUCGUUUGACGUCCGUUCUCGCCUAACUUUUUAUCGCUUCGAUACCAACAACGAGACCUUCGAUCCUCGUUUAGAUUGCUUCAGCUAAAAAACCGCUCGAUCUCAAAUCGAGUAAAACAGGCUGCAUACCGCUAAGCCGAAACUUCGAUAAAUCAUAACUUCCUCAUACGAAGUCAGAUUUGGGCGUUCUAUAUAUAUUCAGAAACCUCGUUUCAACUACUACAACAUUAUUCAAAGAUAUUAAGUUUAUUUUACACUUAAAUUUUGAUGCUUAUUUUUAUUCUUAAUUAAUCAAACCACAUAAUUAAGCAAUUAAGCACAAAACACACAAUACUUAAAUAAUACAAUCUUAUUAUUUCAAAACGGGUUACAAAGGUUAACCUAGACUAUUACAUUGCUAAAAAAUGGCAAGCCCGGAAACACAGGCGUUACAGUUAUUUUCAAUGAGCUUCAAGUUAGGUGUUGAGGUUGAGCAAACUCCAAGUAAAAUUCCAGAAGAUCCCUAUCUACCUUCGGGUCUGGGGAUGGAAUAGCAGCAGUUUAGUUGAAGCAGUGGAAAAUAAAUGCCUUUCGAGUGAUUGGCAUAUCGAACUGUGCAUCCUUGGAAUUGUCAAGACCAAAGGACAUAAUUGGCUCAAGCCAGAGAAUGCUUGGCUCAUCAAUUGCACAUCUUUGAAGCGAGUCUUUUGUCCACACAGGAAACAUGGACCUUUUCUUCUCUAGGAGCUCCGCCUCCUUUCGCUUCAGCUCUAGCUCAGCUUGCUGUUUCUUGGUGUUUUCUUCCAUUUCUUUUUCAGAAGUGUUAACCUUCUGGACAGGUUUCUUGGGAAUCUCGACAUAGACAUCAUCUUCAUUGUCUGUGUCGUCUUCACCGAUUUUCUUCUUCUUUUUGUCUUUGUUACUGACCGAAGCUUCAUUACCCUU
rnacentral:lncRNA from 1 species